rnacentral:rRNA from 1 species
CAUAAGUGGUAUUCCCCUAGUAGCGGCGAGCGAAGCGGGAAGAGCUCAAAUUUAUAAUCUGGCACCUUCGGUGUCCGAGUUGUAAUCUCUAGAAGUGUUUUCCGCGUUGGACCGCACACAAGUCUGUUGGAAUACAGCGGCAUAGUGGUGAAACCCCCGUAUAUGGUGCGGACGCCCAGCGCUUUGUGAUACACUUUCAAUGAGUCGAGUUGUUUGGGAAUGCAGCUCAAAUUGGGUGGUAAAUUCCAUCUAAAGCUAAAUAUUGGCGAGAGACCGAUAGCGAACAAGUACCGUGAGGGAAAGAUGAAAAGCACUUUGGAAAGAGAGUUAACAGUACGUGAAAUUGUUGGAAGGGAAACGCUUGAAGUCAGACUUGCUUGCCGGAGCUUGCUUCGGUUUGCAGGCCAGCAUCAGUUUUCCGGGGUGGAUAAUAACGGUUUGAAGGUAGCAGUCUCGGCUGUGUUAUAGCUUUCCGUUGGAUACAUCCUGGGGGACUGAGGAACGCAGCGUGCUUUUUGCGAAAGACUCGUCUUUUUCACGCUUAGGAUGCUGGUGGAAUGGCUUUAAACGACCGUGAAAAAAAAGGCAAAAAAAAAAAAAAAGU